rnacentral:misc_RNA from 1 species
AACAGAUUUUACAAUAAAGCAUUUCCUUGGAAUACUGUCAUUACAAAUUAAGCAUAUAGCCCUAACAAACCUUCACUACAUUUGACUCCACAAAGUGGAUACUCCAAAUGGAUCNNNNNNNNNNNNUUUCCUGGAUUAUAAUCACUUGAACAUACAGGAGGGCCCAAAAUAUGGAACCUCUUUUUAAGUUACCACCUCCGGUCAGUCAUCUUGCCUGAAACCUGAUUUCCAGCAAUGACUACCAGGUGCACAUGAAGAUAUUAUCAAAUGAAAAAGGGCAAGAAACAGCAGAAAAACAAAUUGUGCAAAUCAGGCAGAGAGAUGGGAUGAAAACUAGAGGAACUCAGCUUUACCCCUCUCAAGGAGAAAAUAAUGAUGGUUAAUGUGGCAGCCCAAGGCAAAGUG